CGCAUGCUCCGGGUGUGGGCCUCUGCCGGCUACUUUCCAAGAAGCAAUGAGACCUGCUUGGAAUUCUUAGUGGGAUUAUCUGGAAGUUGCUGGCAAAGGGGGUUGGGUGCUGGAGGAAGGAACAGGCAGAGAGAUCACGUGUCUCAGGGAGACGGCAUAGCAUGGCACCGACGUUGCCGCCAGGCUGCGCGGAGUCAAAUUCUUCACCACAUGCUGACUGUGUGGGCUUAAACUCUUAGUGUCUCAGUUCCUUGACAGCAAAGGAGUGGGACUGAGCAGUGUGAAAAUGGACCAAUACAAGUCCCAGCCAUCAUCUGAUCUAUUCUGAGGGAUCGGGGUUUCCUGAGGGAUUGGGAGAUUCCUGAUGUUUUCACCAAGAGAGACCAGUGACCUAUUGAAGUGGUGCCUCUGGCUCAGUUGGCCUCAGUCUUCCGCUGGGACUCAGACCUGCUCUGGAAGUAAAAAAUGUUCCUGAUACGUCAUCAACUCUGUCCUCUUUGUGCUUAAUUUGCGUUGACAACUGAAAAGUUAAGCAGAUGCAUCAUUGGGCCUCCUUGUUCAUUUUUUGCACUUCACUGUAAAAAACAAGAAAUGAUUAUUGAAAAAUAUAUAUCUGCUGGAAAACUCGUUUCUCCCCUCU
rnacentral:lncRNA from 1 species